rnacentral:rRNA from 1 species
GACGAACGCUGGCGGCGUGCUUAACACAUGCAAGUCGAACGGUAAGGCCCUUCGGGGUACACGAGUGGCGAACGGGUGAGUAACACGUGGGUGAUCUGCCCUGCACCUCGGGAUGAGCCUGGGAAACUGGGUCUAAUACCGGAUAGGACCCUGGGAUGCAUGUCCUGGGGUGGAAAGCUUUUGCGGUGUGGGAUGGGCCCGCGGCCUAUCAGCUUGUUGGUGGGGUGAUGGCCUACCAAGGCGACGACGGGUAGCCGGCCCGAGAGGGUGACCGGCCACAGGGGGACUGAGAUACGGCCCAGAGUCCUGCGGGAGGCAGCAGUGGGGAAUAUUGCACAAUGGGCGCAAGCCUGAUGCAGCGACGCCGCGUGAGGGAUGACGGCCUUCGGGUUGUAAACCUCUUUCAGCACCGACGAAGCGCAAGUGACGGUAGGUGCAGAAGAAGGACCGGCCAACUACGUGCCAGCAGCCGCAGUAA